UACGAAGGGGGCUAGCGUUGUUCGGAAUUACUGGGCGUAAAGCGCACGUAGGCGGGUAUUUAAGUCAGGGGUGAAAUCCCGGAGCUCAACUCCGGAACUGCCUUUGAUACUGGGUACCUAGAGUAUGGAAGAGGUAAGUGGAAUUCCGAGUGUAGAGGUGAAAUUCGUAGAUAUUCGGAGGAACACCAGUGGCGAAGGCGGCUUACUGGUCCAUUACUGACGCUGAGGUGCGAAAGCGUGGGGAGCAAACAGGAUUAGAAACCCCCGUAGUCC
rnacentral:rRNA from 1 species